GACAAAUAUCAAUGACUCUGGUACGAUUUCUUAAAGCUCAUCACUCAUCAGCUACAUAUUUGCAUCAAUCAUUUAGUAAAACCUGUUUAUAUGCAUAAAUCAUGCUUGGAUUAUGUAGUUGGCCAGGGGAUGACUGCUGAAGAUGGCAAAGUCUGGUCAGGUUCAGACACCGAGGAUGGUUUCUUCAGCGUCAAAGGAGAUUUCAGCAGAUCUUGUAGUAAUGCUUCAAGCCGCCGAGACAGCUUCAGUGGGUGUCCUCUAUUAAACGAUGAAGGUGAUUCCAAACAGAUAGAAGAGAAAAAGAAACUUGCUGAGCUCUUUCAAGAUCCCUUCUGGAGUGAUCAAGUAGACAAUCGCACCAAAUUAUUUGAGUUCCUUCAGGACGAAUGUUGGAGUGAAGAAAUUGCUUCCAUCCAUUUGAAAGAUAUUCCUAGUGACACUACUACUCCAGGAAUAGAAGAUGAGAAAUUAAAAUCAAAGCAAGCAAUCCUCCAUUUAUCUCCAAAUAAGGAAACUUCAAGUCUCCCCAGAGAAGAAUUAAAGUUUGAUGAUAAAAUAGCUCGGGACCAUAAUCGCAGUCUUAAAAAUGAAAAUGCAGCUACUGCUAGUCACUGCUGCUUUCCAAGUUUGAGUCCAAGACGUAGCUCCAGGGAAAGAAGAAAGGGAAUCCACUUAAUUAAGGAUUAAAGGAACCAGGUGAAGGUUUUGAUUGUAAUCUUGCUUGCCUUGUUGCCUACACCUGAGAACAAGUUAGGUUUGACAUGCCUAAUGAACAUUUCUGUAACUUUCAAAUUUGUCAAUCAGCAUGCAUCUCUACCCUUGAGUUUGUGUUGGAAACAGAAAUAAACAAACUAAUU
rnacentral:misc_RNA from 1 species